UCCUGGCGACCAUAGCAUCAUGGAACCACCUGACCCCAUCCCGAACUCAGCAGUGAA
rnacentral:rRNA from 1 species